UAGGGAAUCUUCGGCAAUGGACGGAAGUCUGACCGAGCAACGCCGCGUGAGUGAAGAAGGUUUUCGGAUCGUAAAGCUCUGUUGUAAGAGAAGAACGAGUGUGAGAGUGGAAAGUUCACACUGUGACGGUAUCUUACCAGAAAGGGACGGCUAACUACGUGCCAGCAGCCGCGGUAAUACGUAGGUCCCGAGCGUUGUCCGGAUUUAUUGGGCGUAAAGCGAGCGCAGGCGGUUAGAAAAGUCUGAAGUGGAAGGCAGUGGCUCAACCAUUGUAGGCUUUGGAAACUGUUUAACUUGAGUGCAGAAGGGGAGAGUGGAAUUCCAUGUGUAGCGGUGAAAUGCGUAGAUAUAUGGAGGAACACCGGUGGCGAAAGCGGCUCUCUGGUCUGUAACUGACGCUGAGGCUCGAAAGCGUGGGGAGCGAACAGGAUUAGAUACCCUGGUAGUCCACGCCGUAAACGAUGAGUGCUAGGUGUUAGGUCCUUUCCGGGACUUAGUGCCGCAGCUAACGCAUUAAGCACUCCGCCUGGGGAGUACGACCGCAAGGUUG
rnacentral:rRNA from 1 species